GACGAACGUUGGCGGCGUGCUUAAUACAUGCAAGUCCACUGAAGCAGUGGUAGCAAUCUCGCUGUGGAGGUGGCGCACGGGUGAGUAACACGUAGGUAAUCUGCCUUCAGGUCUGGCAUAACUCCGGGAAACCGGGGCUAAUAGCAGAUGAUGCAGCGGCUCGACAUCGAGACAGUUGUUAAAGCUAUGGCGCCUGAAGAUGAGCCUGCGUCUGAUUAGCUAGUUGGCGGGGUAACGGCCCACCAAGGCAACGAUCAGUAGCUGGUCUGAGAGGAUGAUCAGCCACACUGGAACUGAGACACGGUCCAGACUCCUACGGGAGGCAGCAGUAAGGAAUAUUGCUCAAUGGGAGAAAUCCUGAAGCAGCAACGCCGCGUGAGGGACGAAGGGCUUUUGCUUGUAAACCUCUGUAGUGAGAGAAAAAAAUCCCAAUUUUUGGGACAUGAUGGUAUCUCAAAAGUAAGCCCCGGCUAACUACGUG
rnacentral:rRNA from 1 species